rnacentral:rRNA from 1 species
UUCCGGUUGAUCCUGCCGGACCCCACUGCUAUCGAGGUGGGACUAAGCCAUGCUAGUUGAGCGCACAGAACUAUGUCUGUGAGCGGCACACUGCUCAGUAACACGUAGCUAACCUACCCUUAGGACGUGGACAACCCCGAGAAAUUGGGGCUAAUCCGCGAUAGAUGUAUUGUCCUGGAAUGGUAUUACGUCUAAAGGUAUCCCAUACAUGUUUGGUAUAUGCCUAAGGAUGGGGCUGCGGCCGAUCAGGCUGUUGGUGAGGUAAUGGCUCACCAAACCUUUGACCGGUACGGGCCAUGAGAGUGGUAGCCCGGAGAUGGACACUGAGACAAGGGUCCAGGCCCUACGGGGCGCAGCAGGCGCGAAACCUCCUCAAUGCACUUACGUGCGAAGGGGCUACCUCGAGUGCCAUCUGAUGAAGGUGGCUUUUCCUAGGUCUAAAAAGCCUUGGGAAUAAGAGGGGGGCAAGACUGGUGUCAGCCGCCGCGGUAACACCGGCCCCUCGAGUGGUGGGGAUGAUUAUUGGGCCUAAAGCGUCCGUAGCCUGCCGUGUAAGUUUCCCGUUAAAUCCAGCGUCUUAAGCGUUGGACCGCGGGAAAUACUGUACGGCUAGAGAGUGGGAGAGGUCAGCGGUAUUCUUGGGGUAGGGGCGAAAUCCUUUGAUCCCCGGAGGACCACCAGUGGCGAAGGCUGCUGUCUAGAACACGUCUGACGGUCAGGGACGAAAGCUGGGGUAGCGAACCGGAUUAGAUACCCGGGUAGUCCCAGCCGUAAACGAUGCAUGCUAGGUGUUGGGUUGGCCACGAGCCACCCCAGUGCCGCAGGGAAGCCGUUAAGCAUGCCGCCUGGGAAGUACGAUCGCAAGGUUGAAACUUAAAGGAAUUGGCGGGGGAGCACCACCAGGCGUGAAGCCUGCGGUUUAAUUGGACUCAACGCCGGA